AACUGCUUCGCCGAGCCCAGCUGGAUACGACCGCAGAGGUCCAACCCUGAACAGUUGGGGCAAAAAUGGACACAAUAUUCAAGCUUGAUACAGGUCUGAAUUUGGAUUGUAAUUAAAUGUUUGACAUAUUAUAGGUUUCUGAAUAAAUGUAGUCAAAGAACUUGAAAUUGGUUAUAUGAAUUGAAUUUAUAUUCAAUUUAAGAUUUCUUGCUGUUGUGCAAUACACUGUGCUGUUGCGCAAUACUUAGUAAAUCUGUUGUCAGACUAUAAACAAAUAAAGUUCAAUUAAUUCUCAAUGUCAUAUUAGAAAUUUAUGAAAAUGUAAAGGGAGCUUACAUCAAUAGAUAUAAACAAUUCACCAAAGUUUCAUGAGAAUUGCUGACAGCAUUUUUGAGUUAUUGUCCGAAAACUGGAAAAUCCCCCCUUUAA